UGCGAUCUGCGCUUCCCGACAGGAUAUCAUUUCCCCGGGGCCUUAAUGAUCCUGAAGGGAGCUGUCCCUGACCUUGCCCGUGGGCUUGGUUACACGGCGCCCACCUACUUUGUAGGUUCCCGGGAUCGACAAUCCAUCGGUCGCCGUGGAUCGCAU
rnacentral:other from 1 species